GGCUGGUCCGAUGGCAGUGGGUUAUCAGAACUUACUAACAUUAGUGUCACUAAAGUUGGUAUACCACCCCCCCCACUGCUAAAUUUGACUGGCAAAA
ensembl:misc_RNA Y_RNA Y RNA